rnacentral:rRNA from 1 species
CCUACGGGAGGCAGCAGUGGGGGAUAUUGCACAAUGGGGGGAACCCUGAUGCAGCGACGCCGCGUGGGUGAAGGAGCGUUUCGGCGCGUAAAGCCCUAUCGGCAGGGAAGAAGGAGGACGGUACCUGACUAAGAAGCCCCGGCUAACGACGGGGCAGCAGCCGCGGGUAUACGGAGGGGGCAAGCGUUAUCCGGAUUUACUGGGUGGAAAGGGGGGGCAGACGGCGGUGCAAGCCAGGAGUGAAAGCCCGGGGCCCAACCCCGGGACUGCUUGUGGAACUGCGCGGCUGGAGUGCCGGAGGGGCAGGCGGAAUUCCUGGUGUAGCGGUGAAAUGCGUAGAUAUCAGGAGGAACACCGGUGGCGAAGGCGGCCUGCUGGACUGCGACUGACGUUGAGGCCCGAAAGCGUGGGGAGCAAACAGGAUUAGAUACCCCUGUAGUC